rnacentral:sRNA from 1 species
AAGACCCUUCCUUGAAGUGUAGUAGUUUUUACUUCUGGAAAGGUCUGUUUUUAUAUUUUGCGUUUUUUGUUAAUUGGUAAAUGGUUUUAGUUCACGCGCGGGCAGCGCAACGUUUUAGGGAGGCAGUUACACAUGCAAAACGGUAAAGUAAAAUGGUUCAAUGCAGAAAAAGGCUACGGAUUCAUUGAAGUUGAAGGCGGAAAUGACGUAUUCGUACACUAUUCUGCAAUCGAAGGCGAAGGUUUCAAAACGCUUGAAGAAGGUCAAGAAGUUAGCUUCGACAUUGUUGAAGGUAACCGUGGACCUCAAGCUGCAAACGUUGUUAAACUUUGAUCUUCGGCCAUGACCGAUAAUGUGGAAGCAGUCCUCUCUAAACAAGGGCUGCUUUUUAU